GAACCCGUGAGAAUGCCCUCAAUCCCCCACCCGGGGACGAGGAGCAGGCAUCAGGCACAAAUUUUAGCCCAAGACGCCUUGCCACGCCACACCCCCAAGGGAAUUCAGCAGUGAUAAAUAUUAAGCCAUAAGUGAAAACUUGACUUAGUUAGGGAUAAGAGGGCCGGUAAAACUCGUGCCAGCCACCGCGGUUAUACGAGAGGCCCCAGUUGAUGGACACGGCGUAAAGGGUGGUUAAGGUUUAGUAAAAAUAAAGCCAAAAGACCUCUUGGCUGUCAUACGCCCCUGAGUCUCCGAAGCCCACAUACGAAGGUAGCUUUAAUACUAUAUUUACCUGACCCCACGAAAGCUGAGAAACAAACUGGGAUUAGAUACCCCACUAUGCCCAGCCAUAAACUUAGGCGUUAUUUUACAAUUAACGCCCGCCAGGGUACUACGAGCAUUAGCUUAAAACCCAAAGGACUUGGCGGUGCCUUAGACCCCCCUAGAGGAGCCUGUUCUAGAACCGAUAACCCCCGUUAAACCUCACCACUUCUGGCCAUCCCC
rnacentral:rRNA from 1 species